CUGUAAGGCCAUACCACCCUGAAGGUAGCCUGUCAUCUCCUCUGAUCUCAGAAGCUAAGCAGGGUCAGGUCUGGUUAGUACUUAGAUGGGAGAAUGUGCAUGAGACAUUGGCCUCUUCAUC
rnacentral:rRNA from 1 species